CCAGGGUUGGCCGAGCGGUGUAGGCAACGGACUCAUAAUCCGUGGGGAAACCCAAGGCUGGUUCAACUCCAGCACCCUGGA
rnacentral:tRNA from 1 species